rnacentral:rRNA from 1 species
CGAAAGCGCCUUGCUGUGCCUGCUCCUCCAGAGUGGACUCCUGUCCCCCACUGAAGCUAAGCAGGGCUGAGUCUGGUCAGUACCUGAAUGGGAGACCUCUUGGGAAAACUAGGUUGCUGUUGG